GGGGUCGACUGGUUUUGACAGCGAGAUUAAUUAAAUGGUAAGCACGUCGUGUAAUGGCAUUGAAACACGUAAAAGGCUAGACCAAAUUUUAAACGGCGAGAAUAACUACGCUUUAGCUGCAUAAUCUGAAUUAUAGUAAGAUUGGCCUCGGUACACUAGGUGUACAAGCUAAAUGUCUCCAGAAAGCCUUGGUUAAUGGCGUUCUUUUUUGAGGCAUCGUAAAUAUUGACUAAGAUUGGGUAGUGCUUUGAUGCCCUUUUGAGAUUAAGAAGCUAAGUUGUAAGUAGAAUGUUUUUAAUCGGCUUACAAUCGAAAACCAAGAAAAAACUAAACGUGUAGAAAGCUCUUUGGUUACUUGUUUGGACGAGAGUUCGAUUCUCUCCGACUCCACUC
rnacentral:tmRNA from 1 species